AUAGCGUAUAUUAAAGUUGUUGCGGUUAAAAAGCUCGUAGUUGGAUUUCUGCCAAGGACGACCGGUCCGCCUUCGGGUGUGUAUCUGUGUUGACCGAGGCAUCUUUCUAGGAAACGCCUGUACUUCGAUGUGCGGUGCGUAAUCUAGAUCUUUUACUUUGAGGAAAUUAGAGUGUUUCAAGCAGGCAUAUGCCUUGAAUACAUUAGCAUGGAAUAAUAAGGUAGGACUUCGGUUCUAUUUUGUUGGUUUCUAGAACUGAAGUAAUGAUUAAUAGGGACAGUCGGGGGCAUUCGUACUCAACAGUCAGAGGUGAAAUUCUUGGAUUUGUUGGAGACGAACUACUG
rnacentral:rRNA from 1 species